rnacentral:sRNA from 1 species
AGUCCCAAAAAGCAUUCUGUGCGAAGCACUUAACGCCAAAAGUGAACAAAACAACACUUGCUCUAUUAACACGCCACACUGUCUGAAGGCAGUCGGCUUAACGAGAAACAAGAAUAUCCUACGUGUGGCUAAUUUGCGGUUAAGGAAGGCCCCAUGAUAUAUAAAGCCAAAAAAUAAAGCAAAACCGCAGCAGUUCAUUCAAAUUUUUUGUGGCCAAAACAAAUAUUAAGAUAAAAGUCAGUGGGGACUAUAAUUUGAGUUAUUCAAAUGCAAUAAAUCCGCGGAACCAAACGAGUUGCUAAUUUUACGUUAGACGCCCUUUAAUUUCACGCUGCCAUUUGUGGCUUCCGUUUCGUAUAAGUUUGGGUCGAUGAUUUUUAGAAUUUGCAUUUUCAAUUUGAAUAUAAAAAACCGCCGCUGCAGGUUUGCAGCUUUUAAAGUGAUCCGCAAUCUCAUUCCUAGUCAGUCGAAAAAAGAAAGCUAAAACUAUAACGAAACUCCUUAAAUAAAAAAAACCAAGAAAAAACGAGUGGCCAAGGCCACUCAAAACCGCUUUCAAUUAAAGUGGAGCACACUUUUGCUUGUGGUCGGGCGCAAGCUCAUCAUCACGAUCAUUGUCGUCAUAAUCAUUAUAAGCUGAUGCCUCAGGAGUGAAAACGUUGUUGCCCCAGGCGGUGUAUCCAAACGUCCCCAACUCAGCCCGCUUAUGACCCCAGAAACAAAAAGUUCCAUUACCGAAUGACAUUUAUGAAGAAAUUGUGCAUAUUAAAUUGGGAUAUUGAUAAGUGAUAUCAUUGUUCCCAAGAAGUGAACGUCUAAACACAAAGGCAGACGGAUGAACAUUGCUAAAUGGACAGGCUUUCUUCUACCUCUUACAUACUUCUCAACGAAUCACAUAUACACUAUACUAUAAUGUGUUCACAAAAUACCAAAAAUGAUCAAGGUCUACACUCUAACGAUGUGCUGAAGUAGCUGCGCCGCAGAAAGAUAAAGCCUAAUGUGGAAAUACAAAUGUAAUUGCUUGCAGUUAAUUGACCCACAUACGAUUUCUAGCCAAGUCAAUGUCAAGUGUUGCUUCGGCUGACUUACUACAAAAGUUAAUUGCACUGCACGCACAUGCCAAAAGGUAAAAAGAGUCGCGAGCCUCGGCGACAGGCUUCCAAAACCCUGUAUAUCCACAUCACCAGACCUCAGGACCUCAACUUACGACUCUGGCUACGAGGCGCGUGUGUGCAAUAUCAGGUUUCCGCAUCGACUUGCAUAGUGAUUCGAGGAUGUGCGAAAAUAUGAUUUAAAUUAAGGGAUCAUCAGUUUGCAACAGACUAUUUGUAUACCUUCCUUUUAGAAUAUAUAUAUAUUUUUUAUAGAAAUAUGUAAUACUAGUUAAGUCUUCUAAAGGAAAUACAUUUUUACACGUU